rnacentral:rRNA from 1 species
CUCCCGACUGUUUACCAAAAACACAGCACUCUGCUAACUCGUAAGAGGAUGUAUAGGGUGUGACGCCUGCCCGGUGCUCGAAGGUUAAUUGAUGGGGUUAGCAUUAGCGAAGCUCUUGAUCGAAGCCCGAGUAAACGGCGGCCGUAACUAUAACGGUCCUAAGGUAGCGAAAUUCCUUGUCGGUUAAAUACCGACCUGCAUGAAUGGCGUAACGAGAUGGGAGCUGUCUCAAAGAGGGAUCCAGUGAAAUUGUAGUGGAGGUGAAAAUUCCUCCUACCCGCGGCAAGACGGAAAGACCCCGUGGACCUUUACUACAGCUUGACACUGCUACUUGGAUAAGAAUGUGCAGGAUAGGUGGGAGGCUUUGAGUAUAUGACGCCAGUUGUAUAUGAGCCAUUGUUGAGAUACCACUCUUUCUUAUUUGGGUAGCUAACCAGCUUGAGUUAUCCUCAAGUGGGACAAUGUCUGGUGGGUAGUUUGACUGGGGCGGUCGCCUCCCAAAUAAUAACGGAGGCUUACAAAGGUUGGCUCAGAACGGUUGGAAAUCGUUCGUAGAGUAUAAAGGUAUAAGCCAGCUUAACUGCAAGACAUACAAGUCAAGCAGAGACGAAAGUCGGUCUUAGUGAUCCGGUGGUUCUGUGUGGAAGGGCCAUCGCUCAAAGGAUAAAAGGUACCCCGGGGAUAACAGGCUGAUCUCCCCCAAGAGCUCACAUCGACGGGGAGGUUUGGCACCUCGAUGU